rnacentral:rRNA from 1 species
CCUACGGGGGGCAGCAGUAGGGAAUCUUUCACAAUGGGCGAAAGCCUGAUGGAGCAACGCCGCGUGCAGGAUGAAGGCCUUCGGGUUGUAAACUGCUUUUAUAAGCGAGAAAUAUGAUGGUAACUUAUGAAUAAGGAUCGGCUAACUACGUGCCAGCAGCCGAGGUCAUACGUAGGAUCCGAGCAUUAUCCGGAGUGACUGGGUGUAAAGAGUUGCGUAGGUGGCAUAAUAAGUAGAUAGUGAAAUCUGGUGGCUCAACCAUUCAGACUAUUAGCUAAACUGUUAAGCUCGAGACCGUUAGGGGUAACUGGAAUUUCUAGUGUAGGAGUGAAAUCCGUAGAUAUUAGAAGGAACACCAAUAGCGUAGGCAGGUUGCUGGGACGGUUCUGACACUAAGGCACGAAAGCGUAGGGAGCAAACGGGAUUAGAUACCCCAGUAGUC